rnacentral:rRNA from 1 species
AGAGUUUGAUCAUGGCUCAGAUUGAACGCUGGCGGCGUGCCUAACACAUGCAAGUCGAGCGGUAACAGGUGUAGCAAUACAUGCUGACGAGCGGCGGACGGGUGAGCAAUGUUUGGGAAUCUGCCUAUUAGUGGGGGACAACCCGGGGAAACUCGGGCUAAUACCGCAUACGCACUACGGUGGAAAGCCGGGGACCGCAAGGCCUGGCGCUAAUAGAUGAGCCCAAAUCGGAUUAGCUAGUUGGUGAGGUAACGGCUCACCAAGGCGACGAUCCGUAGCUGGUCUGAGAGGACGACCAGCCACACCGGAACUGAGACACGGUCCGGACUCCUACGGGAGGCAGCAGUGGGGAAUAUUGGACAAUGGGGGAAACCCUGAUCCAGCGACGCCGCGUGGGUGAAGAAGGCCUGCGGGUUGUAAAGCCCUUUCGGUGGGGAUAAAAAGCCUUGGUCUAACACACCAGGGUCUUGAUCUAACCCAAGAAAGAAGCACCGGCUAACUCUGUGCCAGCAGCCGCGGUAAUACAGAGGGUGCGAGCGUUAAUCGGAAUUACUGGGCGUAAAGCGCGCGUAGGUGGCUAUGCAAGUCGGAUGUGAAAUCCCCGGGCUCAACCUGGGAACUGCAUUCGAGACUGCAUUGCUCGAGUAUGGGAGAGGGAAGUGGAAUUUCCGGUGUAGCGGUGAAAUGCGUAGAUAUCGGAAGGAACAUCAGUGGCGAAAGCGACUUCCUGGACCAAUACUGACACUCAAGUGCGAAAGCGUGGGGAGCAAACAGGAUUAGAUACCCUAGUAGUCC